AUCCAAUGAGUGUGAGAUAUUCAACAGCCGUCCCCGUGUGUCAGGAGGACUGAGUAGAACCCAGAGACCCAUCCCAGUGCCUCCACCUCACUCACUAAUACAUGAGAGACUCAAUGACCAAAAGAUCCUGGAACUCACCAACAAGAUCAUUCAGCUGCUGACUGGAGAGGAGGAGGAGUAUAUAGAGGAACACAGGGGUCUGUACAAGGACGUGAUGAUGGAGAAUCACCAGCCCCUCACAUCACUGGAUGGGCCCAGUAACAGAGAUACACCAGAGAGAUGUCCCCGUCCUCUGUAUUCCCAGGAUUGUACAGAGGAGAAUCACAGGAUCCCACAGGAGGA